UGGGGAAUAUUGCGCAAUGGGCGAAAGCCUGACGCAGCGACGCCGCGUGAGUGAAGAAGGUUUUCGGAUCGUAAAACUCUGUUGUUAGAGAAGAACAAGGAUGAGAGUAGAAUGUUCAUCCCUUGACGGUAUCUAACCAGAAAGCCACGGCUAACUACGUGCCAGCAGCCGCGGUAAUACGUAGGUGGCAAGCGUUGUCCGGAUUUAUUGGGCGUAAAGCGAGCGCAGGCGGUUUCUUAAGUCUGAUGUGAAAGCCCCCGGCUCAACCGGGGAGGGUCAUUGGAAACUGGGAAACUUGAGUGCAGAAGAGGAGAGUGGAAUUCCAUGUGUAGCGGUGAAAUGCGUAGAUAUAUGGAGGAACACCAGUGGCGAAGGCGGCUCUCUGGUCUGUAACUGACGCUGAGGCUCGAAAGCGUGGGGAGCAAACAGG
rnacentral:rRNA from 1 species